CUCCUUUAGAGUUUUGAUCCUGGCUCAGGACGAACGCUGGCGGCGUGCUUAACACAUGCAAGUCGAACGAUGAAGCCCUUCGGGGUGGAUUAGUGGCGAACGGGUGAGUAACACGUGGGCAAUCUGCCCUUCACUCUGGGACAAGCCCUGGAAACGGGGUCUAAUACCGGAUAACACUCCUGCCUGCAUGGGUGGGGGUUAAAAGCUCCGGCGGUGAAGGAUGAGCCCGCGGCCUAUCAGCUUGUUGGUGGGGUAAUGGCCCACCAAGGCGACGACGGGUAGCCGGCCUGAGAGGGCGACCGGCCACACUGGGACUGAGACACGGCCCAGACUCCUACGGGAGGCAGCAGUGGGGAAUAUUGCACAAUGGGCGAAAGCCUGAUGCAGCGACGCCGCGUGAGGGAUGACGGCCUUCGGGUUGUAAACCUCUUUCAGCAGGGAAGAAGCGAAA
rnacentral:rRNA from 1 species